rnacentral:rRNA from 1 species
AGUUCGGAUCGCAGGCUGCAACCCGCCUGCGUGAAGUUGGAAUUGCUAGUAAUCGCGGAUCAGCAUGCCGCGGUGAAUACGUUCCCGGGCCUUGUACACACCGCCCGUCACACCAUGGGAGCCGGUAAUACCCGAAGUCAGUAGCCUAACCGCAAGGGGGGCGCUGCCGAAGGUAGGAUUGGCGACUGGGGUGAAGUCGUAACAAGGUACC